UUUCAUAAUUCAUUUUCAGAAAAAAAUAUGUUUUGAUAAAAAGUUUUUUAUAGGUAACUCAAUUUUGAAAAACAAAAUACUUGAUGAAAAUAUCGACCAAAAUUUUGGUUGUUUGCACUGACAUGUUCCUUAUAUUUUUCAAAAUAAUGACGAGAGAGAGAGAAUAGGAAUCAAGCACAGAAGUAUUUCACAAUCAAUAUAUAAUAAGAUAUAGUGCGGUUAAAUUAAUAAAUCAUUGCUUAAAUAUCGUAUGUCCAUUGUGUUUAACAGUUAUUGAAAUAACUUAAAGAAUCCUUCGAAGCACACCCCCGCUUUUGAAUGGUGCUCAACCUUUAGUUUUAAUGUGUAGUGUUUUCUCUUUUCCUCGUACUUCGUUCGAUAAUGGUUUCGACUGUUUUCUUUGACAUAUGGUGUUGAUUGUUCCUUGGGUAUCGUAACCCCUUUUUACCAAUUUUUACAAAUCUGCAUUUAUGAUCAUUAUAUCACAUACCAAAUGUGCUACUCACAAAAAAAAUCUGAUUUUGAAUUAAUACCUUAAUAUAAUAUAAAAAUCUAAACAAUUUUCAUUUUUUUUUUUUUUUUUUUUUUUUUGCUGCAAGCUGCAAGCUGUCAGUUUUAAAACUAAGGGAAAAUGACGAAUCAUCUAAACAAAUAGAGUAAUUUUGAAGAUUAAGGGCUAAUUUGCUUUCAAUACUUUUUAAAAUAUUUUCCUAAAAUAAAAUUAUUAUUUGAAAAUUUUAAGAUUUUAAGUAAAAAUGUUUUCAACUGCAUUUUUUAAAACAUAUUAAAAAAAAGAUUUCCGGUUGGAUCGGUCUAAUGUUUCAAAAAGGGACAACGCAACGUUAAAAAUAGAUGAACCAUAACAUACCAUUUCAAUGUCACCUUAUAUACUUUUUCUUUAUUAAUAAGGUUUCAUAAUUCACACAAACACUUCUUUGUGUAGUCUUAGUAAAAUAUAUAUGUGGCCUAUCAAGAAUAAGAUAUUUAAGUGGGAUGUGUCAUAUAACUUAUCUUGUUUGUGAACGCUUUUCCUGUUUUAUAACAAUUAUUCUAUAAUAAUAAUGUUGUUGGUUUAUUUUUGUAAUUACUUGUUUAUACUUUUAACAAUAUUCCAAAAAUCUUGUGGACGAAUUCAGUGUGACAAUGGAGACACUAUUUCGUUGUCUAUGUUUAAGGACUGUCAAUUUGAAAUACAUAGCAUCUUAGAAAUUAUAUGUAGUUUAUUUUCACCCAAUGCGGAUUUAAAUAUUGAUGGUGCUCUGGUUGGAGAUAGAUUAAAUGCCACAGAAAGACUAAUUUGUGAUUGUUGUAUGAAUGAUUGCAGUUUAACUGAACUUAGGAACUUUUGUUGGUUGCAAAAUACGAAGCUGUGACUUUAUCAUGAAAUUCGAAUUUUAUAUACAAUAUGUUUAAUAAUUUGUUGUAAAUUUCAAUUUUUGUGUUCACUUUCAAUGAUAAGAUAAUUGUGUACUGGUUUUCCAUAAUCGUUAUAUCUAUACAUUUAUUUAUAUGUGACAAUGAAAAUGUAUCAACAAGUGAAACAAAAAUGAGAUAAGAACUAUAUUUUUGUAAUAAAUAUUUUGAUAUUACCAUA